GGGGGGCAAGCGUUGUUCGGAAUUACUGGGCGUAAAGGGCUCGUAGGCGGCCAACUAAGUCGGACGUGAAAUCCCCAGGCUCAACCUGGGAACUGCGUCCGAUACUGGAUGGCUUGAAUCCGGGAGAGGGAUGCAGAAUUCCAGGUGUAGCGGUGAAAUGCGUAGAUAUCUGGAGGAAUACCGGUGGCGAAGGCGGCAUCCUGGACCGGCAUUGACGCUGAGGAGCGAAAGCUAGGGGAGCAAACGGG
rnacentral:rRNA from 1 species